rnacentral:rRNA from 1 species
AAAUUGAAGAGUUUGAUCAUGGCUCAGAUUGAACGCUGGCGGCAGGCCUAACACAUGCAAGUCGAACGGUAACAGGAAGCAGCUUGCUGCUUCGCUGACGAGUGGCGGACGGGUGAGUAAUGUCUGGGAAACUGCCUGAUGGAGGGGGAUAACUACUGGAAACGGUGGCUAAUACCGCAUAACGUCGCAAGACCAAAGAGGGGGACCUUCGGGCCUCUUGCCAUCAGAUGUGCCCAGAUGGGAUUAGCUUGUUGGUGAGGUAACGGCUCACCAAGGCGACGAUCCCUAGCUGGUCUGAGAGGAUGACCAGCCACACUGGAACUGAGACACGGUCCAGACUCCUACGGGAGGCAGCAGUGGGGAAUAUUGCACAAUGGGCGCAAGCCUGAUGCAGCCAUGCCGCGUGUAUGAAGAAGGCCUUCGGGUUGUAAAGUACUUUCAGCGGGGAGGAAGGUGUUGUGGUUAAUAACCGCAGCAAUUGACGUUACCCGCAGAAGAAGCACCGGC